UACGUAGGGUGCAAGCGUUGUCCGGAAUUAUUGGGCGUAAAGAGCUCGUAGGCGGUUUGUCACGUCGGAUGUGAAAACCCGGGGCUUAACCCCGGGCCUGCAUUCGAUACGGGCUGACUAGAGUUCGGCAGGGGAGACUGGAAUUCCUGGUGUAGCGGUGAAAUGCGCAGAUAUCAGGAGGAACACCGGUGGCGAAGGCGGGGUCUCUGGGCCGAUACUGACGCUGAGGAGCGAAAGCGUGGGGGAGCGAACAGG
rnacentral:rRNA from 1 species